UUCCGAAAAAGGCAAAUUUGUUGAAAGACGAAGACGCAAAGCCACAGACCUAAGGCUUUUGCUAAGGUGGCUGGGUUGCUGAA
rnacentral:ncRNA from 1 species